CCAGUUGUGCCCUAGUGGUUAAGGAGAUUAACUGCAGAUUAGAAGGUCACUGGUUCGAUCCACCAUGACUGUG